rnacentral:rRNA from 1 species
AAAUAGAUACCCCGGUAGUCCACGCCGUAAACGAUGUGCACUAGAUCGUGGAGGUUUUGACACCAUCAUGGUCGUAGAGAAAUUAUUAAGUGCACCGCCUGGGGAGUACGGUCGCAAGGCUAAAACUCAAAGGAAUUGACGGGGGCUCACACAAGCGGUGGAGCAUGUGGCUUAAUUCGAAGCAACGCGAAGAACCUUAUCCAAGACUUGACAUGCACGGAUUAUUGAUCCGAAAGGUGGUAAACACUCUCUGAGUGGAACGUGCACAGGUGCUGCAUGGCCGUCGUCAGCUCGUGCUGUGAAGUGUCGGGUUAAGUCCCUUAACGAGCGAAACCCCUACCACUAGUUGCCAGCGAGUCAUGUCGGGGACUCUAGUGAGACUGCCGGUGUCAAACCGGAGGAAGGUGGGGAUGACGUCAAGUCCUCAUGGCCUUUAUGUCUUGGGCUGCACACGUGCUACAAUGGCGUUGACAAAGCGAAGCGAUACGGCAACGUGGAGCAAAUCGCACAAACAACGCCCCAGUUC